rnacentral:lncRNA from 1 species
ACGUGCAUGCGAAGUAGAGGGUCUGCACAUCCAGACCUCUAUAAAAGUUUAUGUCAGAUAAUUUGAGAUUUGAUCUCUGGUUCUAAUACUAAUCAGAUAAGAAUUUGAUCCUUAAUCAUAUAGAUAAAUAAAAAAAAAUUUUAGAUACAACUGUUGGAAAAUAUGUCCCAAAAAGCCAAUCGUCAAGCUGUUGACGGUUG